AUAGGUGACCUGAUUUUUCUUCAAAGACUUUUAGGAUCCCUGGUGUUCUGAAAUUUUAUCGCAUAAUGAUGAUAUCUUAAAAUCACUGGGAUUUCCAUGGAGUCCUGAGAUCAAAGGGAGCUUUGUUUGCUCCAGUGCUUUCAGCAGUGUGCCACGAAGCAGCCAUUCCUACUCCUGGGCCCAGAGAACUGUCAUAUGACCAGGGAAAAACACCUAUUUUCACUAAUUGGAAAUAUUAUAAUUUGAAAUAUUAUAAAACAAAGAUAGCUUAAUUCAUGUUCUAUUGUAAUUAAAAGAAAAAAA